GGGGAGGUACGGUGGUCACAUAGUGCUGUGAAGGUACAGGGGAGAAGGUACAGGGGAUGUACGGUGGUCACAUAGUGCUGUGCAGGUACAGGGGAGGUAUGGUGGUCACAUAGUGCUGUGCAGGUACAGGGGAGGUACGGUGGUCACAUAGUGCUGUGCAGGUACAGGGGAGGUAUGGUGGUCACAUAGUGCUGUGCAGGUACAGGGGAGGUAUGGUGGUCACAUAGUGCUGUGCAGGUACAGGGGAGGUAUGGUGGUCACAUAGUGCUGUGCAGGUACAGGGGAGGUAUGGUGGUCACAUAGUGCUGUGCAGGUACAGGGGAGGUAUGGUGGUCACAUAGUGCUGUGCAGGUACAGGGGAG
ensembl:lncRNA